rnacentral:rRNA from 1 species
CUUGCCACUAUAAGAGGUCCAGCCUGCCCAGUGACCUAGUUCAACGGCCGCGGUAUCCUAACCGUGCGAAGGUAGCGUAAUCACUUGUCUUCUAAAUAAAGACUAGUAUGAAAGGCAUCACGAGAACUUAACUGUCUCCUUUUUCUAAUCAGUGAAACUAAUCUCCCCGUGAAGAAGCUGGGAUCCUCAAAUUAGACGAGAAGACCCUAUGGAGCUUUAAACACUAACCACUUGCUCACACCAUUAAUUACCCCGGUUUCUGAAUCAACGCAAUAUGAUUACGUGUUUUUGGUUGGGGUGACCGCGGAAAAUAACUAAACCUCCACAAUGACAACCAUCCAAACUAUAAGCUACAGCUUUAAGCAUCAACAAAUUGACAUCCAUUGACCCAAUAUAUUGAUUAAUGAAC